AAUCCAUGGCGAUGACACUUCCUAAGAAUCUCCUUGAAUCUCUCCAAAGCUUCGCUUAGUAUUUCAUCUUCAAACUGUUGAAAAGAAACAAUCUCAUUUCUGAACC